GAGUUCAGAUGCAGUUCAUUCUGCUCAUUAGAGACAGAAGACAAGCAGGGUGUAAACUUUCCCAAAGUUCAGCUCAGGGCAUACACCAGGAACUGACAUGACUACAGGAAGGUUUCAAACAGAGAAGGAACAGGAAACAGUUUUGCAAUUCUAAUGAGCACACUGGGACUGUUUGCUUUUAGAUCUGGGUAAGAUUAGAACUACACACGUGUGCUAAAUGUGUCCCUGACGGAAUCAAAUGAGCUUUCCUGACUGAGGAGCCGAAGAUUGUUGUGAAAGUGCUGAAGGCACAAGCACAGAGUCAGAAAUCUAAGUGAAUCUCUUUGUAUUGUCUGCCUAAUAAAUGAACAUUCAACUUUA